GCUUCCAUUUAUUCCAUAAACCGUCACCAAGCAGGGGUUUUAAAUAAUUUGUACAGCAAUGCUGCAGAAGGAGGUCUCAGCUUGUAGUUUCCAGCAUUCCUCUCCAGGACAGCUUUCCCUAAAACUCUGGGUGUAUCAACUUAUGUCUUGACAGACACAAGACGGUGUUGAAGAACCUAUAAAUAUGAAAGGCCCAGUGAGCAUGUUCAUAUAUAUUAAAAAAUUUCUCCCAGGGAAUUUGAGUGUUUUUUACUCAAACUCUACAAGCCUGGCUUGGACAUUGAUCUGAGUCAUUCUAUCUAUUUUUUGCAGUAAAGAGACACAACUCCCACUGCAUCAGGUGAGAGAUAAGUCUGGUGGUACCUGUUCCAUUUCAAUUCACUGUAUUAAUAUUAUAAAAACAUAGUAAAAACAAUAUAAAGGAAGAGAUUUUUUUAAAGGCUUAAAUGUCUCAUUCUUUAAGAUUUGUAAAACAAAUAUAAAUAGCAAAACAUAG
rnacentral:lncRNA from 1 species